CAUCUGUUUACUGCUCAUCUUCUGCACUCAUGUGACUCCCACAUGGUCUCUCUGCCUUCACUAAUGACUGUUCAGUCAGAAGAGCCGGAGGAGUGUCACUUCACUAUAAGCAGACUCCAAAUCCAGUUAUUAUAACACAAGUCCUG